ACGAGGAAGGACGUAGUAAUCGUCGAAAUGCUGCAAGAAGUUGAAAGUAAGCAUAGAUUUGGAGAUUCUUGAAUCGAAAAAUCUUUCGAACUACUUAAUUCAUGAAUAGGCAAGAGACAACCUGACGAACUAAAAUAUCUUAGUAGCUAGAGAAAAUGAAGGCAAAAAU
rnacentral:rRNA from 1 species